CACACAUAUUUAUUUUUAAUAAUGAAACUGUCACAUUUGGCAACAUGACACAGCUAAAGUUAACACAUUGGCAUAACAAAUACUGCCACAGAGUUUCUUCACAAGACUUAGAGCUCUACCAGCCAGCGACAAACAGACACAAGAUGGCAUCUUUAAAAUAGCAGAUGAGGAAGAUUCAACCAAAGUGGAAUUCUUAAAUGUCCCGUGGAUCCCUCUAGACUCCUACAUGCUGGCUAAACCUCUCUGCACUGUGAAAGCUGGAGAGAUCUUGUACCUGCCCUCCUCGUGGUCCCACCACUGCUCUUUUUCUUUUCUUUUUUUUUUUUGUCUUGGCAGUGAAUUUCUGGUAUGACAUGGAAUAUGAUAUGAAGUACAAUUACUUCCUUGACAAAUGCUGUUGAGAUGUGCAUGCACAUUUUUAGUGAUCUAGAAUAAAUAUUGCAAUAAACAAUACAGUUUAACAUGUAAUAAAUACAGUUUUAUUUGUUUGACUUCUCUGAGAAAGAGAUUUUAGGUGACGGAUUGUAUAAAGAGAAUAUAGAAACACUUGACUUCAGUUUGGAGCAAAAGGUAAGACAAAGUCACAAGUUUCUGAAAGAAAGUACUGGUCCAUAUGUAAUGCCAAAAAACAUCUUGAUCCAUUGACCAUAGUUUACAUGAAAGCAGAGCUGGUCACCACUGAGAGAUGAUGCUAAAAGCAGUAAGUCUGCGUGAUUGUUCACGAGGAGCAGGUCAAGCAUACAACCAUGCAUUCUAGUUCAGGAAGCGAGCCCAGCUUAAAUUCUGCCUUUCUUCAUGCAUGUGCAGUGUAUUCAUGCUGAUUCUCACACAGUACUUUUGUUACUGAUGCAGUCUUAC